rnacentral:lncRNA from 1 species
GUAGACUCCUUUGUCACCCCUCAGCUUCGCCGUGAGGAAAAUGUCCUGCAAACACCAGCCCAGAUGGAGGGAGCCACGGCUUCACCACUUCCUGCCGGUGUGCCGGGCUGCGCUCCAGGGACCGCUGGGGCCGUCACCAAAAGAACGGAGCCCAGGGAACGUGGAGAGGAGCCCAGAUGCCUGAGGACCGAGGAGGUUCCAGGGGUGCAGGACCUUUGAUGCUUAGAGCCAGGAGAGGCCACUCGGCCACCCUAAGGGCAGGUCUUCUGCCCCAGGCCGCGUGUGGUUUCUUUCGACACACUGAGGAAGCCUUUCUCCUGAGAUCACCAAAUGCAGCCUGCCCGGUUUCUGUUCCCCAUUACUGCGUAUGCGGUGGGCAAACCUCCUCCGGCCCUGAAAGCUCCUGGCUGCCUGGGGAUUUUCUGUGUGCUCCUACAUAAAAAGCAGCUUCUGUCACUCAACUGGCAAAUACAGUCUCAAUUCAGAGUCAGUCCAAAUCCAUUACCCUAACCCUGAGAUAUUAAUCCAAGCUCCAUUCUUGGUUUAAAGCCAGCCCCUGUGGGCCCUGCUCCCCCGGCCUCCUGGGGUGGAAGCCUGUGCUGGGGGCUGCGGUGUGGGGUUUGCUCUCCUCCCUCCCGCAGGUGGAUGCAGGGCGAGGGAGUGAGGAGGAAUGAGGGUCAGGGGCAGGAAAGGCAGCCUGUGGCAGCCAGGCGGGGCCAGCGCUGCACACCGGGGAAAGGCUCAGCGGGAACGUGUUCCCAGCACUUUGUCUCCCCAGGCCUCAGUUUCUGCAUCUGUAAACGGGCAUGUGCAGGGUUGUGAGAGGGUCAGAGAGCCCCCGUCAGGCCCUUAGUGCGCUGCUAGGCACCGAAUGGGAGCCCGGUCAGCAGUGCCUGCGGGAGCCGACGCUGCUCCGGCAGGAUUGAGUGGAAUUCCGCCCAGGCCGGGAGCUCCCUCGGGCUGGGGAGGCCUCGGGGACCUGGCUAUGAUGGUGAUCUGGGACUUGAUGGGUGAAUGGGUUGGGGCCAGCAUCAGCUUUGGGCAUAUAUUAGGGAGUUACUGAGGAAGACAGAGAAAAAGGGGCACCUAGUUCUUUUAUAAUCCUCCGGGAAAAGGUGAGCUCUGAGCGCUACCUGCUCACUGAACAGCGGAAGAGCGAGCAGCGCCCAGGCCCCGACGCUGUGCAGAGCCCCGGGAGGGCGGCGUUUGCGUGAUUGUUCAAGGUGGACUCGAAGAGCAACAUUUAAAACAUUUCCGAUGUCAUUUUCUUGUUUUGAGGCGAUGCUUUCUGAUUUAUUUCACGUUUAUUUUCUGUAAAGGAAAACACCCUCCUAAACAUACAUUUUCUCAAGGCACAUCACAUGGUCUGAAAAAAAAAACAAAAAAAGGACAUCUUCUCCAAAUUGGUAUUCCUCCAGCUGGAGCAGCUCUGUUGCUGCCAAGCUUCGGUUCUUUGACAAGAAGAGACAUUUCAAAGCCGGGUCCCACAGGAGGGGUUCACGCCACACACGUGGCCAAGCCCUUCCUGAUUCCUGAACCUGCCCCUGCCCGCUGGCCUUUGGGACCUCCCCAGCCCCUGGCCCUGGCGGCCCGAGGAAGUUCUGUGUAGGAAUAAUAUGGUCUACUUAAUUAAUGCAUAUUUUAUUUGGUGACAACGUCCCUAAUUGCCA